rnacentral:rRNA from 1 species
CCUACGGGUGGCAGCAGUGGGGAAUAUUGCACAAUGGGGGGAACCCUGAUGCAGCGACGCCGCGUGAGUGCAGAAGUAUUUCGGUAUGUAAAGCUCUGUCAGCAGGGAAGAAGAAAGACGGUACCUGACCAAGAAGCCCCGGCUAACUACGUGCCAGCAGCCGCGGUAAUACGUAGGGGGCAAGCGUUAUCCGGAUUUACUGGGUGUAAAGGGAGCGUAGACGGCAGGGCAAGUCUGGAGUGAACGGCAGGGGCCCAACCCCUGGACUGCUCUGGACACUGUCCGGCUGGAGUGAAGGAGGGUUAAGUGGAAUCCCGGGUGUAGCGGUGAAAUGGGUAGAUAUUAGGGGGAAAACCGGUGGCGAAGGCGGCUAACUGGA